UGAGGGAUGAAGCUUUAAGGAGGUAAACCUCUGUUAGGAGGGAAGAAUAAUGGCAAUUCGAAACAGGGGUUGUCAGAUGACGGUACCUCCAGAGGAAGCCCCGGCUAACUCCGUGCCAGCAGCCGCGGUAAUACGGGGGGGGCUAGCGUUGUCCGGAAUUACUGGGCGUAAAGGGCGCGUAGGCGGGAUAGCAAGUCAGUGGUGCAAACUUGAGGCUUAACUUCAAGCUUGCCAUUGAUACUGUUAUUCUUGAGUUCGGCAGAGGGAAGUGGAAUUCCUGGUGUAGCGGUGAAAUGCGUAGAUAUCAGGAAGAACACCGGUGGCGAAGGCGGCUUCCUGGUCCGAUACUGACGCUGAGGCGCGAAAGCGUGGGGAGCGAACAGGAUUAGAUACCCUGGUAGUCCACGCUGUAAACGAUGGGUACUAGGUGUUGGUUGUAAUGAUCAGCGCCGGAGCAAACGCAUUAAGUACCCCGCCUGGGGAAUACGGUCGCAAGACUGAAACUCAAAGGAAUUGACGGGGGCCCGCACAAGCGGUGGAGCAUGUGGUUUAAUUCGAUGCAACGCGAAGAACCUUACCUGGGCUUGAACUGCAGGUGCUAUCUCCUGAAAGGGAGUUUCCUUCGGGACGCCUGUAGAGGUGCUGCAUGGCUGUCGUCAGCUCGUGCUGUGAGGUGUUGGGUUAAGUCCCGCAACGAGCGCAACCCCUGUCCCUAGUUGCCAUCAGGUCAAGCUGGGAACUCUAGGGGGACUGCCCCGGAUAACGGGGAGGAAGGUGGGGAUGACGUCAAGUCAUCAUGGCCCUUACGUCCAGGGCUACACACGUGCUACAAUGGCCGGUACAACGGGUAGCGAGACAGUGAUGUGGAGCAAAUCCCUUAAAACCGGUCUCAGUUCAGAUUGCAGUCUGCAACCCGACUGCAUGAAGUUGGAAUCGCUAGUAAUCGCGGAUCAGCAUGCCGCGGUGAUACGUUCCCGGGCCUUGUACACACCGCCCGUCACGCCAUGGGAGUCGGUAGCACCCGAAGCCGGUGGCCCAAUCCUGCUUGCAGG
rnacentral:rRNA from 1 species